rnacentral:tRNA from 1 species
GAGGUUAUAGCUCGGUGGUAGAGCACAUGCUUAGCAUGCAUGAAGUCCUGGGUUCAAUCCCCAGUACCGUCA